AGCCGAUGAAGGACGUUACUAACGACGAUAUGCUUUGGGGAGCUGUAAGUAAGCUUUGAUCCAGAGAUUUCCGAAUGGGGAAACCCAGCAUGAGUUAUGUCAUGUUAUCGAUAUGUGAAUACAUAGCAUAUCAGAAGGCACACCCGGAGAACUGAAACAUCUUAGUACCCGGAGGAAGAGAAAGAAAAUUCGAUUCCCUUAGUAGCGGCGAGCGAAACGGGAAGAGCCCAAACCAACAAGCUUGCUUGUUGGGGUUGUAGGACACUCUAUACGGAGUUACAAAGGACGACAUUAGACGAAUCAUCUGGAAAGAUGAAUCAAAGAAGGUAAUAAUCCUGUAGUCGAAAAUGUUGUCUCUCUUGAGUGGAUCCUGAGUACGACGGAGCACGUGAAAUUCCGUCGGAAUCUGGGAGGACCAUCUCCUAAGGCUAAAUACUCUCUAGUGACCGAUAGUGAACCAGUACCGUGAGGGAAAGGUGAAAAGCACCCCGGAAGGGGAGUGAAAUAGAACCUGAAACCGUGUGCUUACAAGUAGUCAGAGCCCGUUAAUGGGUGAUGGCGUGCCUUUUGUAGAAUGAACCGGCGAGUUACGAUUUGAUGCAAGGUUAAGCAGUAAAUGUGGAGCCGUAGCGAAAGCGAGUCUGAAUAGGGCGUUUAGUAUUUGGUCGUAGACCCGAAACCAGGUGAUCUACCCUUGGUCAGGUUGAAGUUCAGGUAACACUGAAUGGAGGACCGAACCGACUUACGUUGAAAAGUGAGCGGAUGAACUGAGGGUAGCGGAGAAAUUCCAAUCGAACCUGGAGAUAGCUGGUUCUCUCCGAAAUAGCUUUAGGGCUAGCCUCAAGUGAUGAUUAUUGGAGGUAGAGCACUGUUUGGACGAGGGGCCCCUCUCGGGUUACCGAAUUCAGACAAACUCCGAAUGCCAAUUAAUUUAACUUGGGAGUCAGAACAUGGGUGAUAAGGUCCGUGUUCGAAAGGGAAACAGCCCAGACCACCAGCUAAGGUCCCAAAAUAUAUGUUAAGUGGAAAAGGAUGUGGCGUUGCCCAGACAACUAGGAUGUUGGCUUAGAAGCAGCCAUCAUUUAAAGAGUGCGUAAUAGCUCACUAGUCGAGUGACACUGCGCCGAAAAUGUACCGGGGCUAAACAUAUUACCGAAGCUGUGGAUUGUCCUUUGGACAAUGGUAGGAGAGCGUUCUAAGGGCGUUGAAGCAUGAUCGUAAGGACAUGUGGAGCGCUUAGAAGUGAGAAUGCCGGUGUGAGUAGCGAAAGACGGGUGAGAAUCCCGUCCACCGAUUGACUAAGGUUUCCAGAGGAAGGCUCGUCCGCUCUGGGUUAGUCGGGUCCUAAGCUGAGGCCGACAGGCGUAGGCGAUGGAUAACAGGUUGAUAUUCCUGUACCACCUAUAAUCGUUUUAAUCGAUGGGGGGACGCAGUAGGAUAGGCGAAGCGUGCGAUUGGAUUGCACGUCUAAGCAGUAAGGCUGAGUAUUAGGCAAAUCCGGUACUCGUUAAGGCUGAGCUGUGAUGGGGAGAAGACAUUGUGUCUUCGAGUCGUUGAUUUCACACUGCCGAGAAAAGCCUCUAGAUAGAAAAUAGGUGCCCGUACCGCAAACCGACACAGGUAGUCAAGAUGAGAAUUCUAAGGUGAGCGAGCGAACUCUCGUUAAGGAACUCGGCAAAAUGACCCCGUAACUUCGGGAGAAGGGGUGCUCUUUAGGGUUAACGCCCAGAAGAGCCGCAGUGAAUAGGCCCAAGCGACUGUUUAUCAAAAACACAGGUCUCUGCUAAACCGUAAGGUGAUGUAUAGGGGCUGACGCCUGCCCGGUGCUGGAAGGUUAAGAGGAGUGGUUAGCUUCUGCGAAGCUACGAAUCGAAGCCCCAGUAAACGGCGGCCGUAACUAUAACGGUCCUAAGGUAGCGAAAUUCCUUGUCGGGUAAGUUCCGACCCGCACGAAAGGCGUAACGAUUUGGGCACUGUCUCAACGAGAGACUCGGUGAAAUCAUAGUACCUGUGAAGAUGCAGGUUACCCGCGACAGGACGGAAAGACCCCGUGGAGCUUUACUGUAGCCUGAUAUUGAAAUUCGGCACAGCUUGUACAGGAUAGGUAGGAGCCUUUGAAACGUGAGCGCUAGCUUACGUGGAGGCGCUGGUGGGAUACUACCCUAGCUGUGUUGGCUUUCUAACCCGCACCACUUAUCGUGGUGGGAGACAGUGUCAGGCGGGCAGUUUGACUGGGGCGGUCGCCUCCUAAAAGGUAACGGAGGCGCUCAAAGGUUCCCUCAGAAUGGUUGGAAAUCAUUCAUAGAGUGUAAAGGCAUAAGGGAGCUUGACUGCGAGACCUACAAGUCGAGCAGGGUCGAAAGACGGACUUAGUGAUCCGGUGGUUCCGCAUGGAAGGGCCAUCGCUCAACGGAUAAAAGCUACCCCGGGGAUAACAGGCUUAUCUCCCCCAAGAGUUCACAUCGACGGGGAGGUUUGGCACCUCGAUGUCGGCUCAUCGCAUCCUGGGGCUGUAGUCGGUCCCAAGGGUUGGGCUGUUCGCCCAUUAAAGCGGUACGCGAGCUGGGUUCAGAACGUCGUGAGACAGUUCGGUCCCUAUCCGUCGUGGGCGUAGGAAAUUUGAGAGGAGCUGUCCUUAGUACGAGAGGACCGGGAUGGACAUACCUCUGGUGUACCAGUUGUCGUGCCAACGGCAUAGCUGGGUAGCUAUGUGUGGACGGGAUAAGUGCUGAAAGCAUCUAAGCAUGAAGCCCCCCUC
rnacentral:rRNA from 1 species